UUGGUGUCGUGCCCUGGAUUUGACCCACUGUUAAUAAAGUGUAUUAAAGAUGUAUUAAAAUUAACUUGUGAAUUGCAAAAUACUGCAUACAGGAGUUUAUAGAAUGCAACAGGUCAACAGGUGACAUAAUUCCCAGUUACCAGGAUGAAUCGAGCUACUUAAACCUAGAGGCGAGGGCUAAUCCUGGGAGGUCUCUGCCUGGACUUGUUGGGUGCCAGAAUAGCAAGUGAACUAUCUCCAUCCAGUUCUCUUCUCUAACAAUGCUGGAGCACAAAGGCCAAUACAGCACUCCCUGUGGGAUCAACUACCCUUCAAAAGGUAGUGCUUUUACAAGAGAUCCAGCUUGCAGCUACUGUUUAAAGCCUAGAAUGGAAAAGCCCAUGCAGGCAACCCCCUCCAUGACCGACGCCCCAGAGAAGAAAACAGGCACCAAUCAAGGGACGGACUGCCAGCUCCCUGUACACACCCGAGAUGCGAGGUCCUACCUUACUUAAGUUAAGUACCAGUGGCCGGCUCCGAAGACCAAAUCAGAGUAGGGAGGGCUGAGAUUGGGGUGUACGUAGUGAAUGACCAGGGACACAGAGGGAGUGUGGAGAUCAAGGCUGUUUGUUCUUCCAUUGCAGGAUCCUGCAUCGUGGUACUGGAGAGGGGGUAUCAAGUCUGAAGGGAGCUAAAUAUAAGCCUUACACCGUGAUGAACAAACGGAUUAGGAGGUUCUUGGAUUGGUUACCUUCAGCUAAUACUUUCCCUAAUUGGCAUUUCUACCAGGACAGUAUUUGGCAACUUGGAUUAAGUACGGGACCCACUAACUGAGAUUUCUAGGCUUUUCUUAGGCCCAGGUGAAUGUACUGGAAUGAUCACCAAAUUGCUGCUAAUAUUGUUCAGGACAUAACGUGUGGAGUUGAAGAAUUGUAUUAAUAAUAUCCCCCUGAAGUCACAAGUAGCCUGCUACAGUUUAUUUAAGGUUGUAGUGAUUUUACUUGGUGCACAGUUUUAGGUGUUUUUAGGAUUUUGUAGGUUUUGUACUGAAAUACAAUUCAUUUUAAAUUCUAUUAAUUAUUCAUUUCAAAUCGGUUCCUUUCAUAGAGAUCAGAAAUCAGCUCUGAUUUUGCUGCUUAUUAAAGAAGGCAAAGAUCCUCUUGAAUGUACCAGUUAUAGGCCUCUCUCACUUCUGAACUCAGAUCUAAAAUUAUUUGCAAAGGCACUGACCAAAUAACUAGAAUUUUACAUAGGUAAUUUAGUAAUUAAAAGGUCAGCUGAUUUGACUAAAAUUAAGACUGAUUUGGCUAGACUGUCUCCCUUACAGCUUACGCUGCAUGGUAGAAUUUCUAUUUUAGAAAUGAAUGUCCUUUCUAACAUCAUUUUUUUUUAUUCUCCAUGCUACCCAUAUUACCCCCCCCCCCCGGCAAAUACUUAGAAGAAAUUAACUCUGUCUUUAUUUGGAAUGGCAAGCGUCUGAGAAUUCAGUUUAAGAACUUUAAGUUUUACUACUGGGCCUUUCAGCUGUGGAUAUUUAAAACCGGGCUGGAUCCAAGUGCCCUGGUUUCAUGGUGUUCAAUUUAAGAGGCAAUAAUUAAGCCAAUUAGGCUUCAGGAUCAACCAUUCUCUGGCCUCAGAAAUAGGGCUUUUUCUUUGUGACUGGAACCCAUUAUUGCACACUCUUUUAGACAUAUGGAAAAAAGUGCAAAGAUUCCUUGGAAUCUCUCUCCACUUUCAUAAGCUCUCUGCCAUUUGCAAAAAACAUCUACUUUUGACAGGCUCACAGCUAUUUAACUACCUACCUUGGUCCACUAGAAAUAUUCAUAUUUUAAAUUAUAUUGUUGAUGAUAAAGGUAUGCGCAUGUUCCAAGAUCUUAAGGAAACUUACUUACUCCCUGGGUUCUCUUUUUUUUGUAUGUUAACCUUUCAUGCCUAUGGGGUUCCAUGGAAUGUGAUAUUGCCCAUUCACCCUCUAGCUCAAUUGUUUAACACCAAUUCCCUCCCAGUGACUACUGUCUGGGAUAGAGAACUUGGCAAGCUGGGAGUCAGCCUCGACUGGAAUAGGGUGUGGGAUAAUAUUUUUACACCCUCCAAAAAUCUAACACACCAGUUGAUUCACUUUAAACUUGCACACAGAUUUUAUGCAACGCCAUAUUGGCGGUUCCAAAUGAAAAUCACUACAGUAAGUAGUUACCUACACAUGUUUUGGGAGUGUUGUAUCAUUGUAAGCUUUUGGGUAUAUGUAGUUUCUGUAUUAUCUUAAUUAAUUUGUGUGGCGGUACCGCUGACUCCUGAGUUGCUUCUUCUUGGCGAUGAACCCUAAAUUGCCCUUAAUCCUCACACAAGACGACUUUUGCUAGCAGGGCUAAUUGGAGUUAAUACAUCUAUUUGAAGGGGUUGGGUGGAGCCUGGGUUAUCACUCAGUCGUUUUUGGUUAUACACUUUUCUAGACAUUACACUUAUGGAAAGGUCCACUGCGAUAUUGCACCAGGCCAGUGCAGUCACAGUGGCCGUUUGGUGAACGGCGGUCUGCAAUAUUAGAGAUUUGAUUCUUACUUUGGGAGCCCACACUCCCUAAUUCUUGUUUCAUUUUCUGUUUUGUAACCUGCUUUGACCCCCAUGUAUUUGUUUGCUUCUUGUUUGUUUCUGAUUUGUAUUGUUUGUUUUGAGAAAACUUUUAUAAAAAUGUUUUAAAAAAAAGAAUCUCUCUCUCCCUCUCCCACUUAUGCAACAGUUUCUUCUCUCUCCUUCCCUGAUCCGCUCUGCUUUUCCAUCUCCAUCAGACUUCAUCAGCCAGGAACCUAUGAAGACCCAUGCUACCUUCCCAAUUGCUGGACAUUUUUGCACUUUCCCAAUUCACCCGCAAUUUAAGUCACUAUUUUGACAAAAAAAAAACUUGUCAAGAAUGAAAGUGCACCCCGUAUGA